AUUCCAGCUCCAAUAGCGUAUAUUAAAGUUGUUGCGGUUAAAAAGCUCGUAGUUGGAGUUCUGCCAGGUGCCACCUGUCCGCCCCAGUGGUGAGUACGUGGUGCGCAUUUGGCCCUUUCAAGGGGAGCGUAUUUGCACUUAAUUGUGUGGUGCGGGAUCCUUGACUUUUACUUUGAGGAAAUAAGAGUGUUCCAAGCAGGCUCUCGUCGUGCAUAGCUCAGCAUGGAAUAAUAGCAUUGGAUCUCGAUUCCAAACUGUUGGUUGUAGGAAACGAGAUAAUGAUGAAGAGGGAUAGUUGGGGGCAUUCGUAUUUAACUGUCAGAGGUGAAAUUCUUGGAUUUGUUAAAGACGAACUACUGCGAAAGCAUCUGCCAUGGAUGUUUUCAUCG
rnacentral:rRNA from 1 species